AGCUUUUCCCGCCUAUAUACCACCGUCGCCAGCUUACCCUGUGAAGGACUAACAGUAAGCACAAUCGGCACAGCCCAGAACGUCAGGUCGAGGUGUAGUGCAUGGGAGGGGAAGAAAUGGGCUACAUUCGCUGCCUCCAGCGAACACGAAUGAUGCAUUGAAACAUGCAACUGAAGGAGGAUUUAGCAGUAAGCAGGAAGUAGAGCGUCCCGCUGAAGCCGGCUCUUAAGCGCGCACACACCGCCCGUCACCCUCUCCGAGCAGCUGGCCCUGAAUUUUUCUUAAACCAUUACAAUCGCGAAGGAGAGGAAAGUCGUAACAUGGUAAGCGUACCGGAAGGUGCGCUUGGUUAAAU
rnacentral:rRNA from 1 species